AGGUUCCUGCCGGAGCCCCCCUGCCCUGAGGGGGGGCUGGAGCUGCCCCCCCACCUUGCCCUCGACCUUGACCCCAACCUUGACCCUGAUCCUGACCUUGACCCCGAGCCUGACCUCGACCCCAGGGCCUGGGCUGCUCUGCGCAGGGAGCGGGCGCUCCGCAAGGGCUGCGAGCGGCAGGUCGGGGCGCUGCGGCGGCGCCUCGGGGCCCUGCAGGCCGUGGUGCGGCAGCUGGACCACGAGGCCACGUCGCUGCGGAGGCGCCUGGAGGCGGCGGAGGCCGAGCUGAGCCGGGAGCGGGCGGCCUGGGAGCAGGAGCGGGUGACGCUGCGGCAGGAGCUGGAGCAGCGGAGCCGGGAGCUGCGCGAGGCCCAGAGCCGGCACCAGGUCCCGGACGCCUGGGCCCCCUGGGGAGGGUGAGGGGUCCCCGGACGCCUGGGCCCCCGGGGGGGGUCUCUGGACACCUGGG
rnacentral:lncRNA from 1 species